GGGCGCGUAGCUCAGGGGGAGAGCGCUUGCUUGACACGCAAGAGGCCGGAGGUUCGAAACCUCCCGCGCCCACCA
rnacentral:tRNA from 1 species